UUGCACUUAGGCGGGGAGUUAGCGGUGCCCUGAACUUGCAAUCCGCUAUAGCAAGGCCGAAUGUUCCCCGAGGCGAGCCGCAUGGUCGGUUGCGCUCGGUAAGGCGUGUUGAUAUCAAGGUCUUAUGCAACGAGUGUCCGCGAACCGUGUCAGGAUAGGAAUAUAGCAGCACUAAACGGUCCCACUCGUGUGCCAUGAGGUUGCUUUGAAGGAGCGACCUGCCGGGUUUCCACUUCGGUGCGACUCGUCGACGGGAACUGCACAG
rnacentral:SRP_RNA from 1 species